UUCUGUUUUAUUAUUUUAAUUUUUUUAAAACAGGUUAUUUUAUUUAAUUACCAUUUAUCUAACUUUAAAUAAUAGUAAAGUUUUCUAUUUAUAAUAAUAAUAAUAUUUUGGUGACGACAUAAAAACUAUAUUCACAAAAUAUUUGUGAAGUUACAUUAAAUUUCUCCUUCAUCUUCAUAUUGACAUAGUCAAUUAUGAUUUUGUAAUUUCCAAAAUUAGUAUAAAAAUCUGAAAAUUAUUGAUCACGUUAAUUUUGUUGACGUUGCUCUAUUUUUCUAUUUUUCACAAGUUAAAUAAAACAAUCUAUUUUUAUCUUAUUUGUUGUGUAUAUAUAUAUUAUGAAUGUUAGGAACUAUUUUUCUUAACAAGAAAACAAAUCAUUGUUUAUGCUAUCUCUUAUCUGAUAUUGAACUAUGAAGUCUGUUAUUUUAUUCAUUGCUUCUUGUGUUGUUUUGUUGCUCAUUUUGAGCUAUCCUAUAGUAGAAGGAAAAGCUGAUUCCAACAGGUGUCACGUUAGAAACAUGCUUCCUGGAAAAUGCGGAAAUGAUGGAAUACAGAGUUGCCUUAGAGAUUUCAAAAAAAUGAACAAGAAGAGCCAUGUUUUUGAUCAGUGUAGUAAAUGUAACAACCAUAAGUCCCCUAGUGGUUUAGUACGACGAGACUGCAAUUGCAGUUUCCCUUCCUCUUCCCCAUGCGUCUAAAUUCAUGCAGGGAUCGAUUAUGGCAUACGAUUUAAAGGGCAUAUUUUAAUUUUAUUUUCUUAUUAAUAUAUACAUAUGGAUAUAUAAAACUAAUAGAGAUUUUUAGUCAAAUCUAUAUUUGUUGAAAA